CAUUAUCGAGAGGGGCGUCAGCCUCGGGGGGUUUCGGCCCCCAACUCUUUACCCUGUGGCUACACGGUCCGUGUUGCUUUGGCGGUUAAAUCGCCGCCAGAAACCCUCCAAAACUCUGAUAUCAUGUGUGGUCCGAGUCAUAUUCAAUAACUAAAACUUUCAACAACGGAUCUCUUGGUUCUGGCAUCGAUGAAGAACGCAGCGAAAUGCGAUAAGUAAUGUGAAUUGCAGAAUUCAGUGAAUCAUCGAAUCUUUGAACGCACAUUGCGCCCCUUGGUAUUCCGAGGGGCAUACCUGUUCGAGCGUCAUUACACCCCUCAAGCGUGGCUUGGUGUUGGGCUCGCGUCCCCCCGGGAUGGGCCUGAAGAGCAGUGGCGGUCCGACGUAGACUUCAAGCGCAGUAAAUACGUUCGCUUGGAAGGCUCGCUGGGCUCUCGCCAGACAAACCCAUCAUUCAAUCCGUUUGACCU
rnacentral:rRNA from 1 species